rnacentral:misc_RNA from 1 species
UUUUAUUUUAUUUUAUUUUAUAAAAAAAAUCAAAUUAUUUUGAAAUUUCUAAUUCUUGUAUUAAUAGGAGUAGUGUUAACCCUUAUAGUUUAUUAUUAUGAUUAUAUCAUAUAUGAUUGAAAAUUAAUUCUAUCAAAAUGAAUGAUUAAAAAUUAAUAAAAGUUUGAGAAUUUAUUUUUCUUCUUUCCUGUUUUGAUAAUUUAUUUCUCUUAAUCUUUUGGUUUCUUCUUGUUCUACAUCAAGAGGCUAUUGAAUUUUGAAUAAUGUAAUAGGAAUAGCUCUCUACCAUCACUAUCCCAACCAUCCAAGAAUAUUGAGUUGAUGUUCAUAUAGAAAAUUUAGUCUUCUUUUUAAUUACUUCUAUCACAAAACAAUCCCCGCGAAAAAAAAAGGCCUGCUCCAGUCUGUUGGGUCAUACGGUUUUCACGAUUGAACGGUGGAGAAUUUAUUUUGUUUUGGGUCUAUGAAUUAUGAAUUUGUCCUUUCGCUGUAAGCUUGAUUAUUUUGUCACAUGAUUGUGAAAUUGCAAAGCAAGCUCACUUGUAUUCCCUACAUUGUUGCAGUUAUUGACUCUGUUACUGUCGUUGUUGAAGUUACUUCACAAAACCAAAAAAUAUAUUUACGGUGUCAAAGUUUUGAUCUUUCUAUUUCUUGCUAUUGUAGACACACUAUUUUCUGUUGCUUUG